AGUGAGUCUUCGAAUGCCUUGUGUCGAGUUCCCAUGGCCAUUCCAUUGAGGAGGAGUAAGCGAAGGCCUUACUCACGUGACCAGGAACUCUCAGACAACUUGAUUCUCGGAACUGCGCAGUAUUCGAGAUAGUUUUCUUUCGCGUUAUGGUUGCACGCGACAUGCUUUUUGGGAUUAAGUUGUUUAUGUAAACAAAUAUUUUUAACUAACAUUUUUGUAAAAAAAUGUAUUUUAGAAGUUCAUGCUGUGUUAGAGUGAAAAAGCAUUUUCGAAAUGUUUAUUUAAUUUAUUUAAUUUUUUUUUUCUAGUGCUGAGGAAUUGUUGAUCAAGAUAAUUAAUGAAUGAAUGGAAAAGGUCAAUGAGAAUGCAGCUGCUGAUUAUGUCAACAUUAUAUGAAGUAACAAGCAAGAACGAAGGAUACCUGAAAAACCAUAAUUUUCAAGAUUUUAACAAUGAUGAGGAGUCGUUUCGGAAGAAUCCUGCUCUAAAUCUGACAGAAAGUGAUUGAAUUCCUUGCAUUUGGAUGUGUCAUCUCUUUGGUAUAAUUCUCAUUAUCCAGUAGAAUCUUCAUCCGAGAUGAUCUGCGUUUUGUCCUCAAAAGCCAGAUCGUCUUGAAUUGAGGCUCCAAGGGUUGAGCAAUCUCCGGUAUCGUAUGUUCAUCUAAAAAUUCCUGCGCUUUCUCUCUCUUUUUUUUACUUCUACGAAAAAAAAAUUAUUUUUCUUUCUAAAUUCUUUUCUUUUACUGAAUGAAAGGCUUAAAAUUCUUUAAACAUUCCGUGUUCUGUUUACUUUUUUCCCUAUCAUUCACAGUCCGUUAUGAUUUUUCGAAACACGUGUUUUUUCAACUUUUUCUUGUAGCUCUAAUGAGAUAAGUUGUUAAGGUAUUUUUUGCAUCGACUCAAUAGAAUGAAAUGAGGUACUGAGUUGCUUGAAAUUUUUUUCUUUCUUUCAUGAUAGCGUCUACAAGCUUUUAUUUAUCUAU